UGACAGUACUCCUACGGGAGGCAGCAUGGGGGAAUAUUGCACAAUGGGGCGCAAGCCUGAUGCAGCCAUGCCGCGUGUGUGAAGAAGGGUUUCGGCUCGUAAAGCUCUGUUGUUAAAGAAGAACACGUAUGAGAGUAACUGUUCAUACGUUGACGGUAUUUAACCAGAAAGUCACGGCUAACUACGUGCCAGCAGCCGCGGUAAUACGUAGGUGGCAAGCGUUAUCCGGAUUUAUUGGGCGUAAAGAGAGUGCAGGCGGUUUUCUAAGUCUGAUGUGAAAGCCUUCGGCUUAACCGGAGAAGUGCAUCGGAAACUGGAUAACUUGAGUGCAGAAGAGGGUAGUGGAACUCCAUGUGUAGCGGUGGAAUGCGUAGAUAUAUGGAAGAACACCAGUGGCGAAGGCGGCUACCUGGUCUGCAACUGACGCUGAGACUCGAAAGCAUGGGUAGCGAACAGGAUUAGAUACCCUGGUAG
rnacentral:rRNA from 1 species